UACGGAGGGUGCAAGCGUUAAUCGGAAUUACUGGGCGUAAAGCGCACGUAGGCGGUUUGAUAAGCCAGCCGUGAAAGCCCCGGGCUCAACCUGGGAAUUGCGGUUGGAACUGUCAAGCUCGAGUACAGUAGAGGGGUGUGGAAUUUCAGGUGUAGCGGUGAAAUGCGUAGAUAUCUGAAGGGACAUCAGUGGCGAAGGCGACACCCUGGACUGAUACUGACGCUGAGGUGCGAAAGCGUGGGGAGCAAACAGG
rnacentral:rRNA from 1 species